rnacentral:rRNA from 1 species
AUGUCUCACAAGAAGAUGACCAUGAGCUGCCUCGUCGUGCUGACACUGGCACUCGCGGCCACCGUGGGCGCGCAGGAGUGCAGGCGGAGCGGCACGCUCCGGCCGAGCAAGGGCCACGCGUGCGAGGACUGCUGCGAGGCAGGGAAGGCGUACCCGACGUACCGGUGCUCGCCGCCGGUCGUCGCGGGCGCCACCAGGGCCAUCAUGACGCUCAACGACUUCGACGCGGGCGGCGACGGCGGGGACCCGUCGGCGUGCGACGAGGUGUUCCACCGCAACUCGGAGCGCGUGGUGGCGCUGUCCACGGGGUGGUACGCCGGGGGCUCCCGCUGCGGCGACCGCAUCCGGAUCCGAGCCAACGGCAGGUCCGUGCUCGCCAAGGUCGUCGACGAGUGCGACUCCUUGAACGGGUGCGACCGCGAGCACGCCUUCCAGCCGCCAUGCCGCAACAACGUCGUCGAUGCGUCCCAGGCGGUGUGGGACGCGCUCGGCAUCACCGGCGAGGAGGUCGGCGAGUACGGCAUCACCUGGUCAGAUGCAUGA